rnacentral:rRNA from 1 species
GUGGCAGCCGCCGCGGUAAUACGGAGGGUGCGAGCGUUAAUCGGAAUUACUGGGCGUAAAGGGCGCGUAGGCGGUCGCGCAAGUCGGGUGUGAGAGCCCCGGGCUCAACCUGGGAAUUGCAUUCGAUACUGCGUAACUAGAGUCUGGUAGAGGGAAGCGGAAUUCCGCAUGUAGCGGUGAAAUGCGUAGAUAUGCGGAGGAACACCAGUGGCGAAGGCGGCUUCCUGGACCAAGACUGACGCUGAGGCGCGAAAGCGUGGGGAGCAAACAGGAUUAGAUACCCCGGUAGUCCACGCCCUAAACGAUGAGGACUAGACGUUGGGGGGAUAAAACCCUUUAGUGUCGCAGCUAACGCGUGAAGUCCUCCGCCUGGGGAGUACGGCCGCAAGGUUGAAACUCAAAUGAAUUGGCGG